ensembl:lncRNA
ACUCAUGGGUGACCCUGAAGAAGCAGGCGUCUUUUGGGAGUCCUGGACUUGGACGCCGCAGGGAGAAGAAAAGAAAAAAGACCCAAAAAAGGAGCGGAAACGCCUGAAACGCAAAAACAGCGCGACCAAGAAAACGGAGCAAGACAUCGAGAGGAAAAAGAAAAAGAAAAAGUCACCGAAGGAAAAGAAAGAAAAUAAAAAAGGCAAGAAGAAAAAACGGUCGCCUUCGGAACUGGACGACGGUUUGAUCCUCGCGCCCGCUGUGCGGCCUCCUCGCACGCUGGAUCCGCGGAGCACCGAGAAGCUCCAACGAGACCACGACCGCAAGAAGAAAAGCAGCGGAAAACCGAAGGUGGCGUUCAACUUACCGCCGAGCGUCGUCUCAGCCGGACCAGCCGGUUUGCCGUCUUCUCGUCAGCGGUCUCCCAGGGAGAAGGCCCUCUCGGAGCCCGAGGCCGUCGCGGGGGUCCGACCCGGCCGACGGCCCCCCGGCGCAUCCCAGAGCCCCGGCGAGGACGUCAACAGUCAGGACCUGUUCAUCACCCAGAAGGCAUUCAGGGCUUCGCCCUCACAGCCUUCCAGCGGCGACGACAGCGACAGAGCCGUGUCCCCCCCCCGGCGCGGGCUGCACCCCUCCGAGGCGCAAAACCCCCGCCUGCAUGUGCAGAAGACGGUGCAGGUGCAGGUGCGUCUCACGGACGGAGAAGAGGACGAAGAAGCAGCAGCAGAAGAAGAAGAAGAGCGCAUGAGCCAAACGCACCCGGAUCCGGAGGAGGGGAAAUGGUUCAAAGCGGACGUCGCCCGAGAGAAGAGGGUCCCGCUGGGGCCCUUUCAGUUGAGCCCCUCCCUGGAUGCCGCGCGGUCGGGAAGACCUCCGUGUGCCUCGCGCGAGCCGCCUCUUUCAGGGGCGCCGCGCCGUCUCCACACCUCCACCCAGACAGAAAACUUCUUCUCCACCGAGCUGUGCUGCUACCUCGCCUUCUGCCGGAGGAGCAGAGGGGCCGGAGCCGCGGAGGACCCGCGGCCCCUGGACCUGAGCGUGCGGCGCGGGGCCAGAAAGGACCCCGGGGACGGCUCGCCGGGGAAGACGCCGUCUUCAGCGGCAGAGCGCAAAGAGGCCGACCUGCGUCCUCGCCGCUCCUCAGACGCGGCAGAUGGAGCGCCGACGGAGGAGCCCUCCGGCCGCCCGCCGCCCUGCGCCCGGCCGGAGAGGAAGACCACGCCGAGCCCCCCGUCGGAGUCGGAUCCCAGGACGGCGGACACGUCGGCAUCCAGCGAGGACGAGCCGCCCUGUCGCGGCGGGAGGCUGAACCUGACCCAGGUCAGGGCCGUCCAGAUGAGACUCAACGAGUCCUUCUUUUUCAAGCCAAAGGGAGAGCGACAGUCCCCCAGGCCACAGUCUCCACUGAUGAAGCUGGCUCAGGGCCGACAGGUGAAAAGCAGGAAGGCGCAACGCUAA